rnacentral:rRNA from 1 species
GCUAAGAAUAUUCCGCAAUGGACGAAAGUCUGACGGAGCGACGCCGCGUGGAUGAUGAAGGCCGAAAGGUUGUAAAGUCCUUUUGCUGGGGAAGAAUAAGCGUGGGAGGGAAUGCCCGCGUGAUGACAUGAACCGGCGAAUAAGCCCCGGCUAACUACGUGCCAGCAGCCGCGGUAACACGUAGGGGGCAAGCGGUGUUCGGAAUUACUGGGCGUAAAGGGCAUGUAGGCGGCCUUGUAAGCUUGGCGUGAAAGUCCACGGCUUAACCGUGGGAUUGCGUUGAGAACUGCGAGGCUUGAGUGACGGAGAGGGAGCUAGAAUUCCUGGUGUAGGGGUGGAAUCUGUAGAGAUCAGGAAGAAUACCAAUGGCGAAGGCAAGCUCCUGGCCGAUGACUGACGCUGAGGUGCGAAAGUGUGGGGAUCAAACAGGAUUAGAAACCCCGGUAGUCC